rnacentral:rRNA from 1 species
CUAAGGGUAAAAGAAUAAUCGGCAUCGGAGGUGCUUGCGUCCUAUCAGCUAGUAGGGGCGGUAAAAGCGCACCUAGGCGAAGACGGGUAGCCGGACUGAGAGGUUGGACGGCCACAUUGGAACUGAGACACGGUCCAGACUCCUACGGGAGGCAGCAGUGGGGAAUAUUGGGCAAUGGGGGCAACCCUGACCCAGCAACGCCGCGUGAAGGAAGAAGGCUUUCGGGUUGUAAACUUCUUUGACGAGGGACGAUAAUGACGGUACCUCGAAAACAAGCCACGGCUAACUACGUGCCAGCAGCCGCGGUAAUACGUAGGUGGCAAGCGUUGUCCGGAUUUAUUGGGUUUAAAGGGUGCGCAGGCGGCGUGCUAAGUCAGCGGUGAAAGGCGACGGCUCAACCGGAGCAGUGCCGUUGAUACUGGCGUGCUUGAAUGCGGUCGAGGCCGGCGGAAUGUGGCGUGUAGCGGUGAAAUGCAUAGAUAUUACAUAGAACACCGAUCGCGAAGGCAGCUGGCGAGGACGUCACUGACGCUGAGGCACGAAGGCGUGGGGAUCAAACAGGAUUAGAUACCCUGGUAGUCCACGCAGUAAACGAUGAUAACUUGUUGUCGGCGAUAGACAGUCGGUGACAAAGCGAAAGCGAUAAGUUAUCCACCUGGGGAGUACGAUCGCAAGGUUGAAACUCAAAGGAAUUGACGGGGGCCCGCACAAGCAGUGGAUUAUGUGGUUUAAUUCGAAGCAACGCGAAGAACCUUACCAGGGCUUGACAUCCAACUAACGAAGCAGAGAUGCAUUAGGUGCCCUUCGGGGAAAGUUGAGACAGGUGGUGCAUGGUUGUCGUCAGCUCGUGUCGUGAGAUGUUGGGUUAAGUCCCGCAACGAGCGCAACCCCUAUUGUUAGUUGCUACGCAAGAGCACUCUAGCGAGACUGCCGUUGACAAAACGGAGGAAGGUGGGGACGACGUCAAAUCAUCAUGCCCCUUAUGUCCUGGGCUACACACGUAAUACAAUGGCGCACACAAAGGGAUGCAAAACCGCGAGGUGGAGCAAAUCCCCAAAAGGCGUCUCAGUUCGGACUGCAGUCUGCAACUCGACUGCACGAAGUCGGAAUUGCUAGUAAUCGCGGAUCAGCAUGCCGCGGUGAAUACGUUCCCGGGCCUUGCACUCACCGCCCGUCA